rnacentral:rRNA from 1 species
UACAGAGGUGGCAAGCGUUGUUCGGAAUUACUGGGCGUAAAGGGCGCGUAGGCGGCCAUCUAAGUCAGACGUGAAAUCCCUCGGCUUAACCGGGGAACUGCAUCUGAUACUGGAUGGCUUGAGAUUGGGAGAGGGAUGCGGAAUUCCAGGUGUAGCGGUGAAAUGCGUAGAUAUCUGGAGGAACACCGGUGGCGAAGGCGGCAUCCUGGACCAACACUGACGCUGAGGAGCGAAAGCCAGGGGAGCAAACGGG